AGAGUUUGAUCAUGGCUCAGAACGAACGCUGGCGGCAUGCCUAACACAUGCAAGUCGAACGGGAUCCUAGCUUGCUAGGUGAGAGUGGCGGACGGGUGAGUAACACGUGGGAAUCUGCCUUUUGGUUCGGGAUAACCGCGGGAAACUGCGGCUAAUACCGAAUGCCCUCGAGAGAGGAAAGAUUUAUCGCCAGAAGAGGAGCCCGCGUCCGAUUAGGUAGUUGGUGGGGUAAAGGCCUACCAAGCCGACGAUCGGUAGCUGGUCUGAGAGGAUGAUCAGCCACACUGGGGACUGAGAUACGGCCCAGACUCCUACGGGAGGCAGCAGUGGGGAAUAUUGGACAAUGGGGGCAACCCUGAUCCAGCAAUGCCGCGUGAGUGAUGAAGGCCUUAGGGUUGUAAAGCUCUUUUGCCAGGGAAGAUGAUGACUGUACCUGGAGAAUAAGCCCCGGCUAACUUCGUG
rnacentral:rRNA from 1 species